rnacentral:rRNA from 1 species
UACGUAGGUGGCAAGCGUUAUCCGGAUUUAUUGGGUGUAAAGGGCGUGUAGGCGGGAAUGCAAGUCAGAUGUGAAAACUCAGGGCUCAACCCUGAGCCUGCAUUUGAAACUGUAUUUCUUGAGUGCUGGAGAGGCAAUCGGAAUUCCGUGUGUAGCGGUGAAAUGCGUAGAUAUACGGAGGAACACCAGUGGCGAAGGCGGAUUGCUGGACAGUGACUGACGCUGAGGCGCGAAAGCGUGGGGAGCAAACAGG